rnacentral:rRNA from 1 species
AGCAGUCGCCGCGGUAAUACGUAGGGUGCGAGCGUUAAUCGGAAUUACUGGGCGUAAAGCGUGCGCAGGCGGUUUUGUAAGACAGAGGUGAAAUCCCCGGGCUCAACCUGGGAACUGCCUUUGUGACUGCAAGGCUAGAGUACGGCAGAGGGGGAUGGAAUUCCGCGUGUAGCAGUGAAAUGCGUAGAUAUGCGGAGGAACACCGAUGGCGAAGGCAAUCCCCUGGGCCUGUACUGACGCUCAUGCACGAAAGCGUGGGGAGCAAACAGGAUUAGAUACCCGGGUAGUCCCUGUCUCUUAUAC